rnacentral:rRNA from 1 species
AAUAUGACUCUCGGCAACGGAUAUCUCGGCUCUUGCAUCGAUGAAGAACGUAGCGAAAUGCGAUACUUGGUGUGAAUUGCAGAAUCCCGUGAACCAUCGAGUCUUUGAACGCAAGUUGCGCCCGAAGCCAUUAGGUUGAGGGCACGCCUGCCUGGGUGUCACAC